AGACCACACCCAAAACCGCACUGC
rnacentral:siRNA from 1 species